rnacentral:rRNA from 1 species
AGGAUGAACGCUGGCGGCGUGCUUAACACAUGCAAGUCAUGGGGGCCCGAGGCGCAAGCUUAGGGCAACCGGCGAACGGGUGCGUAACACGUGAGCAACCUACCCAGGUGUGGGGGAUAGCCGUCCCAACGGACGGGUAAUACCGCAUACGCUCAACACGAGGCAUUUCGAGUUGAGGAAACCUUCGGGGCACCAUGAGGGGCUCGCGGCCUAUCAGCUAGUUGGCGAGGUAACGGCUCACCAAGGCUACGACGGGUAGCUGGUCUGAGAGGAUGACCAGCCACAUUGGGACUGAGAAACGGCCCAGACUCCUACGGGAGGCAGCAGUGGGGAAUCUUGCGCAAUGGCCUAACGGCUGACGCAGCGACGCCGCGUGAGGAUGACGCUCUUCGGAGUGUAAACCUCUUUUUGCCUGGAACGAACUAUCAGCUUCAGCUGAUUUGACGUACCGGUGAAUAGCACCGGCUAACUCCGUGCCAGCAGCCGCGUAAUC